AUUGAACGCUGGCGGCAGGCCUAACACAUGCAAGUCGAACGAGUGGCGGACGGGUGAGUAAUGUCUGGGAAACUGCCCGAUGGAGGGGGAUAACUACUGGAAACGGUAGCUAAUACCGCAUACCCUCGGAUGUGCCCAGAUGGGAUUAGCUAGUGGGGGGGGGAACGGCUCACCUAGGCGACGAUCCCUAGCUGGUCUGAGAGGAUGGCCAGCAACACUGUAACUGAGAAAGGGUCCAGCACACUACGGGAGGCAGCAGGGGGGAAUAUUGCAGAAUGGGAGCAAGCCUGAUGCAGCCACGCCGCGUGUAUGAAGAAGGCCUUCGGGUGGUAAAGUAAUUUCAGCGAGGAGGCGUUACUCGCAGAAGAAGCACCGGCUAACUCCGUGCCAGCAGCCGCGGUAAUAC
rnacentral:rRNA from 1 species